UACGUAGGGUGCGAGCGUUGUCCGGAAUUAUUGGGCGUAAAGAGCUUGUAGGCGGUUUGUCGCGUCUGGUGUGAAAAUCCGGGGCUCAACCCCGGACUUGCAGUGGGUACGGGCAGACUAGAGUGUGGUAGGGGAGACUGGAAUUCCCGGUGUAGCGGUGAAAUGCGCAGAUAUCGAGAGGAACACCAGUGGCGAAGGCGAGUCUCUGGACGACUCCUGACACUGAGGCACGAAAGCCAGGGGAGCAAACAGG
rnacentral:rRNA from 1 species